rnacentral:misc_RNA from 1 species
UGAAAUUGCUGAUAAAACAGUCAACCAGUGCUCCAAACCUAGUUUCUCAGCUCAGGUAUCGUCGGUCGGUACUGAUUUGGAUAGGUAUGCCGCCGUUGGAAAUCAAGACGUUGAAGAAUUGGUUGUUGAAGCUAGGGAUUCAAAGGCAUAUAGUGUGAAUGGCGGCGUGAGUGGCGCUGUGGCGGGGGGUUUCUUCAAAUGGGUGAAUUACGGGGAGGGGUGGGGGGAGGUCGAGAUGGUUCGUGCUCGAGGAUGGAGUGCUAUCGUAUUAUAAGAUUCAUGGACCUGACAAGAUUUUGAUGAGUCCGGCGAGGGAGAAGGAUGUUAGGGUGAUCGGAGAGGAAUCUUUGAGGUACAUGAGAAAGGCCAAUUGGAGUAGUAAUCGACUCGGUUUGAGCGCCG